UAAAGAAGUGAGUGUGUCAUGAAAGCAAUGUUCUUAUUAUCGUUAGGAGGUACUGAUACAAUUUCCUUGCUCGAGCAAUUAUAUUAUCCAAUGAUUUGGGCGAUGUUCUACAUAGAUUUGCUGCAAAAUCGGAGUAUAUCACAGGUAGUACUGGUGGUCCAGGUGGUUCACAUUUGAACACCGCACAACAUGAGUCCGUGAAGCGAGUAAUUCAUCAAAUUUGGACAUACUCAUCAUAGAUCCUUCCAUAGAUAUUCAAACCGAAGAGGACUCAGAACUAACUAGUGUUUUCUCCAAAAUGUUUGGAAAUCCAGGAAAAAUAACCGAAUGUAUGGA